GGACGAACGCUGGCGGCGUGCCUAAUACAUGCAAGUCGAGCGGACUAAAAGGGGCUUGCUCCUUUUAGUUAGCGGCGGACGGGUGAGUAACACGUGGGCAACCUGCCCGUAAGAUCGGGAUAACUUCGGGAAACCGGAGCUAAUACCGGAUAACACCGAAGACCGCAUGGUCUUUGGUUGAAAGGCGGCUUUGGCUGUCACUUACGGAUGGGCCCGCGGCGCAUUAGCUAGUUGGUGAGGUAACGGCUCACCAAGGCGACGAUGCGUAGCCGACCUGAGAGGGUGAUCGGCCACACUGGGACUGAGACACGGCCCAGACUCCUACGGGAGGCAGCAGUAGGGAAUCUUCCGCAAUGGACGAAAGUCUGACGGAGCAACGCCGCGUGAGCGAAGAAGGUCUUCGGAUUGUAAAGCUCUGUUGUUAGGGAAGAACAAGUACCGUUCGAAUAGGCGGUACCGUGACGGUACCUAACGAGAAAGCCACGGCUAACUACGUGCCAGCAGCCGCGGUAUACCUAGUGGCAAGCGUUGUCCGGAUAUUGGGC
rnacentral:rRNA from 1 species